CCAUAGCGACUAUCGUGGCAUAUCAAUAAGCGGAGGAAAAGAAACUAACAAGGAUUCCCCUAGUAACGGCGAGUGAAGCGGGAAGAGCUCAAAUUUGAAAUCUUCAAGGGUUUCCCUUGACGAAUUGUAGUUUAAAGAAGUGUUUUCUGUUAGAGAGGUGGUAAAAGUUCUUUGGAAUAGGACAUCAUAGAGGGUGAGAAUCCCGUAUUUGAUCACUUUCUACUAACGUUGUGAUACACUUUCAAAGAGUCGGAUUGUUUGGGAAUGCAGUCCAAAAUGGGUGGUAAAUUUCAUCUAAAGCUAAAUAUUGGCGAGAGACCGAUAGCGAACAAGUACCGUGAGGGAAAGAUGAAAAGAACUUUGAAAAGAGAGUUAAACAGUACGUGAAAUUGUCAAAAGGGAAGCGUUUGACACCAGUGUUGUUUUCUCGAAAAUCAAUUAAAAAUGGCCGGAUUUUGUGUUGUAUUGACUUUAUCAGCUUUCUGCACUUUUUUCUUGUCUUUUUUAAUGCACUUUUCGUUUAACAAGUCAACAUCAAUUUCUUUUGUUGUAAAAGAGUCAUUGGAAGGUGGCUUUCAUUUCGGUGAAAGUGUUUAUAGCCUUUGACUCCUGCAAUCGGAGAGAUUGAGGUCUGCAGCGUAGAUCCUUCGGGGUUAGAUACAUUUGUGCUAAGUUAUAGUUUUUCAUAGACAACAUGUUGACUAUGAUUAAUCAUGUAGCUUACUCGCUUAUGCUAUUUUACCUACGCUUAGGAUGUUGAAGAUAUGCGCGACACG
rnacentral:rRNA from 1 species